UAGCUUGAAAGAAGAGGCAAAAUGGCAACAUGGGAACACUUUACUUUGUGGUGCAUCAGAAGCGGACUACAUUGACGAUUCACCCCUUUGACAUCGUAGUUAUACCAUAAAUAAGAAGAUGCAUCUCAUCCGAACUUUAUAACACUAAAUUGGAAGGAUUAGGAGUGUCACAUACACGUAACGCAAAGGAAUCUGCCUGAAGGAAGAGUGAUGACAUUUCAAAGUGACCAUUAACGAGGAGAUUGGAUGCGUUUUCUGUCAAAGACAGCGAAGGGUUCGGCGGAGUUAGCAAUCAUGUCAAAAUUGUUUUACUUGUCUCCUAGAUAAAUUAUGCUGGAUGGACAUUUAAUAUGGACUGUCACGUCGAAUAUUUUGUUUAAUAUGUAAUAUUCUGCAUUAAAAACGUCUAUCAACUGACCAUGUCGUUCUGCCGCCCCUAUACAUAGGCCGUGCAGAAUUUUAAACAUAAAAGAAUUUUUCAUUCUGUUCAAAAUUGUGCCAUCAAUGACGUAUUAAUUUUUUUCGAAGAAAAAUAUUGAAGACGCACUAGAUUUAUCUCUGUACAAAAUAACUUACAAAAAUGGUUUAAUUUGGCUACCUUUUGGUUUUCAGUGGGGGGCAUUUGUACGAUGGUAUGGAGUAAAGCAGCAUUCACAUCCAAAGUUGAUCAGCGGACUAACAGAUCCACGGCUCAAAUAUGGCCGACCCACUUGAAAGCUUGCCGCAUGAUUUCCUAAAAGACGAUGUAAGAUUUCGCGGCAAGCUUACAUAUUAUUUUGACCGCAUGGUUCCUUUUUUAUAAAUCAAAAUUAUUAGUAGUUUGUGCAGUAGAUUCCAAAAUGCAUACAAUCUUCGACGAAUUUUGAGAAAAGGAAUUUUUUGUGAAAAUGAACUGAUGGGAACUGCUAUUAUCGUAUUGUAAUUAUACUUUGCAAGUUUGACUUUUGUGCCAAAAUCUUUGCUUUUAUUUUAUACAAUCAUUUGGAUAAUAAGAUACGUCUGUAUGUUCAAUUUAUUUCAAAAUUUGCAAAAAUGAUCAAAUGUCUUUCUCCCUCAGUUUGGCCCGAACCCCCAAUCUUCUUUACGUUAGUUCGUCCGAGGCAAGCGCGCUAUCCACUCCCCCAAGUGUGCCCGCCAACCCUCCUCGGGUGAGCUUUCUUCUUAUAAUAAACGGAAAGAAAUUCUAAAUGCCUUCCUUGAAACUUGAAAGGUCUUUGGCAAUUUCCAAGCGCCCUACCCGGAGCUCAAGCCUCAACCUUCCCCCCCCUCCCUUCCCCGGAUCAAUAAAAACAGAGAGACAUUUUGCAUACAGGAGUUUUACUUUUUAUUAAGAGCAAAAUACAUUUCCAUUGACGUAUUCAUUCAUUUUAAAGCAUCUCAUCGUAAGU